rnacentral:lncRNA from 1 species
ACCAUGUAGAGUGAUUUCUGGAGAAGCACAAACUCUACCUAAAUAAUGUAUGGGUAGACACAUUCUCAACACACUCAAGAUAAGCAAGUAAAGACUUUGAGUAACAUACAUGACUACAUCUCAAUAUAUUAAUGGAAACUGCUGAUACAGGAGAAUAAACAUACCCUUCACGGAUAUGCUAACUGACGUUGUAAUGUCAGAUGUGGAGACAACUAUCAAUUAGCUAGAAAGCAUAGCUAUAAGUUGUUUGCAUUGUGAUGGAGUCAAGGGACUUGCAUUGGGUCAAGGCGGCAACUUGAUUUGCUGAAGGAAAUUGUGAGGUUGUCCAACUAGCAACCUUGUUUGAUGGUCAUGCGCUUAGUUGAUAACUUGGAGGGUAACCGUACGGAUUAUAGCACUUGUCCUUACUGUGACCAAAUAAGGUGUUGUUAACCGGUGAGGUGAACAAGGGAAGAAGAUAAUGGUUAUACAAUGGAAAGUUAGGUGAAGGUUAGGAAGGAGAUCUUUCUGUGGAGAGUUUGGGAGCUCAAGAAGAAAUGGUUUGUACGUAGUUUGUAUAAGUUGUUUGCAUGACAUUUUUUAUAGCGGUGGACAAGUUUAGCUAUGUGUCCUAAGGUCAUUGACAUUGAAGUUUGAUUUGAUAUUCUUGGCAGUGAUGGUGAUUCUAUAUACUAGGAUAAGAAGUUUUAAGAAGAAGGGGCAAAUAAUUUUCUUGAGCCUUCGCAUGAUCUUCAUGUAAUCUUAACGGAGAUGUCUAACUUAAGGUUCGCCGUGUUGUUAGCUUCAUUGAGAGACAUGUGUCGGAUUCUCUUAUGGAUAUGUUGUCAGGUUUGUGAGGUCCACAAGGUACGCUACGUAAGGUAUAAUAGGU